GACGAACCGGACAAACGUUAUUCGAAAUUACUGGGCUUAAAGGGUUUGUAGGCGGCCUUGUAAGUCAGGUGUGAAAUCCCUCGGCUCAACCGAGGAAUGGCGCUUGAUACUGCACGGCUUGAGGGAGACAGGGGUAAGCGGAACUGAUGGUGGAGCGGUGAAAUGCGUUGAUAUCAUCAGGAACACCGGUGGCGAAAGCGGCUUACUGGGUCUCAUCUGACGCUGAGGAACGAAAGCUAGGGAGCGAACGGG
rnacentral:rRNA from 1 species